GUUCUCCCCUGUCAAAAGAAUGACUCUGAAUUUGUAAUGGGGGUAUUUAUAGGUGAGGAGCGCGUAAAAAACAAGCCCAAGUCCAGCGUGCCACCGCCGAGCGGUUUAAGUUUGCCGCCCGGCGGUUUCCCAUAACAUGUCGCCACCGCCCGGCUGCAAUCGCUGGCGCCCGGCGGUUUCCCUCAGUGACAUUUUCCAUGUCUACUCCUCGUCCUGG
rnacentral:lncRNA from 1 species